rnacentral:rRNA from 1 species
GAGUUUGAUCGUGGCUCAGAUUGAACGCUGGCGGCAUGCCUUACACAUGCAAGUCGAACGGCAGCAUGAUCUAGCUUGCUAGAUUGAUGGCGAGUGGCGAACGGGUGAGUAAUACAUCGGAACGUGCCCUGUAGUGGGGAUAACUAGUCGAAAGAUUAGCUAAUACCGCAUACGACCUGAGGGUGAAAGUGGGGGACCGCAAGGCCUCAUGCUAUAGGAGCGGCCGAUGUCUGAUUAGCUAGUUGGUGGGGUAAAGGCCCACCAAGGCGACGAUCAGUAGCUGGUCUGAGAGGACGAUCAGCCACACUGGGACUGAGACACGGCCCAGACUCCUACGGGAGGCAGCAGUGGGGAAUUUGGACAAUGGGCGAAAGCCUGAUCCAGCAAUGCCGCGUGUGUGAAG